UGCUGUGUGCCUGUGUGGAACUACAUGUGCAGGUUAUAUACAAAUCCAUGCAAGCUGGAGCCGGCGCAUCUUUAACUUUGUGGAAAGAUACCGUGUGUGCUUUCUUAUAUGUUUGGCCAUUUGCCUGAAGACCAAGAUGCCUUUUUUAUAUUUUGCUUAAGGAUUAGCAUGAUUGCUUCUCGAUAGCUUUCCGAAAAGUAGGGAGUCUAGUGGUACACCCGGUACUUCCCUCGAUUAUGUCAAUUAAUGAACUAUACGCAAGCAUAUUGCACUACGUGAAACCACCCAUAUUAGUAAUAGACAAAGAAAGUGCAUAAAGUCCGUUAGUGUUCUAUGCCCCCUAGUUAGCAACAACCUUGCCUUUUCUCACGUACUAAAAUAUCCCGCGAUGAAGCAAAGUUAGUGUCUAAUGGACAUACGAGACUUGGAUGAUAAUCCAAUCUUUGCCUUUCUUGGGCUUAAACAUUGGUGUGAAUGCAGCACUAAGCCUAUCUCAUAUCCACGAGAUUAAAGGACCGAGUCCGCUGUUUGCUCUAGAACCCCUAGUUCAACCUUCGAAGACGACUGGCAUAACCCGUCAAGAUGUUCCUAUCUUGUUCUUCAUCGUCCCACAACCUUUCCUUACAAAAUUCCUUUAUUGCGGUAUCGACGUAUCUUCCCUGGCUUCUUAUGACACUGUGGUAUACUAUCAUUAGAUCAUACCCGACAGAUAAAUAGUGGAUUAGUCAUGUGAAAUACGGGACAUGAGGGUGUACAUGUGAAACCCCUAGCUUCUUAUCUGAGAUUUCAUUUUCCAGUUGGUCACACUCUCAGCCGUCACUCUCAGAUCCAACGUCGCCAUCUGUGCACUGCUUCUCGCCAAAACAAUCACAGUUCUGCGGCGCUGUUGCCCAGUUGCCCCUGGCUCACACCCUCCUCUCCAAGCUUGGAGGUCACCUUAGACCAUGAAAAACCCUCCCACUAACUUACCGUUGACUCAAAAAGUUUGCCACUGACCUCUUGGUUCACAUAUGUUCACAACCCUUGAAAUCUCCCUAUGAUAUUUUAGACAGCUAAACCGUAGGAGGUGUGAUAUAAAGAAUAAGGCAUAAGAGCAUGAAUGUGAAGAACGCGACCAGAGAGGAACAUAUUGCGGGUACUUCGUGGCUACUGCAACUAACACA
rnacentral:lncRNA from 1 species